AAUUUCUUGGGAGUCUCUGAUGUGUUCCAUGGGAAUCCUUUUUAAAAUAAAGUAGCCAUUGAUUUCCUCAAAAUAUGAUUCUGAAGAUUUUAUACAUUUUCAUACAAUGGGAUGGAAGCUCAUGGAGACAUCUAAUCCCUCAGUAUUACAUAUUUUAUUAUGAAUAAAACAUAAGUGUGAGACUCGGAUUCCAGAACUGGUUGUGAUGACAGAGCAGAAGACCAGGGUUCUGAGUGCUGCUUGCCGCCCUCAACCUUGCUGCUGGCACAUUGCAGGAUGAUCAGCUCAAAAACCUGUCUGUUGUCUCUUGUUCACAGCAGAGUAAGAAGCAGCAUGCGUGCUCCUCUUUCAAGUUAAAAAGUAAAAGUCAAUAAACAAUGUAAGGCAUCAAAGGUAAAUGUGUCAAAUUCUGUGAGUUUGGGACACUGUGAAGAAGAAGGAAAUGUUGAUUAUAGAUUAUUGGGAAAUUUAGAAAAUAAUACUUUUCUAUAAAUACAAAAUAGUGUUAUCAGUAUGAUCAGUAAUUUUACUGGCCCAUUAGAAGUUACUUUAUCAUGAGGAUGAAUGUAAAUUGAGGCAACUUAUAAGAAGGUGAUUUCAGAACAUCUGCUUCUUUAUUCAUUUUUAUUUCUUAUAAGUUAGGCAGUUCCACUGUCAUCCCUUGUAUCCAUCAAAGAGAAACUAAUACAAAUGGAAAAUGAAACACUACCUUAAAACAGUCCAAAGAAAAAUAGUUACAGUCUUUUUUUUUCCUGAUAAUUACCUUUGUCACAAUUCCUAUUUUGACAAUAAGGUUGAAUUUUAUUAUUAAACACAAAGAAUAACUUUUGAUCUCUUUUUUAUUCUUUAUGAAUCUGUUUAGAAUGAGAAAACUGUCAUUCGCUUUUCACCACAUCUGAAUGAGUUGGAAAGGUUAAGCUGUCAUGUUUUAUUUUCAUUAGAAUUAGACUGUGUAUCUUUUAUAAUUUCUCCUAUCUAGCCAGAAAAGAGGCAUUUCUGAGAGGUAAUUAAAGAAGACUCUAUCCAGCCAAGAUGAGGCUCCUGCUAUUAGGUAGAAGGAAAUGUAUGACCUGUUAUGAAAUCUGUUAUGGGCAGAUUAUUUUCUGAUUUGCUUUUUCAAAAUCUUCUCAAAAUAAAGGAGACUCUGGAUAAUGGCAUGUCUUGUCAAAACCCAGAACUGAUUAUAAUCCUGGUGUGGUAUAAAAAUAGCACCACUGACUGGUUUAUCGUAAAGUCUCAUUAAUUCUUGGCUUAUUGAAGUAGUGUGGAGGUUUGAUCCAUGUCUUUGUUCAGUUCUUGGGGAGAAAGAGUGGCUAUGACUAUUUUCUAUUUUAGGUUUCUCUUCCAUAAAAUAACCAAUCACAAAUCAAGGCUGGUGUUUAUUAAAUUUCUUGGUGUAAGAGUAUAUUUAAGAUCUUAAAAAUUACUGAAUACUAUAGAAUGAUCAUAAUAAAACGCAAAGAAUUCACACACACACUCACACACACUGUAGCAGCCUUUAGAGUGAUGGCAACAUAAGGUGUUUCAUAGCCUCUGAAAGCUCCAGGGUGCAUUUGUGAAAGAAUGAGAUGAAGAAAAGGAAAAUACUGCCUCAAGAUUUCUAUGGAAAAAUGUUUUACCUUGCACAGCCCCCUGCAAUUUGGUAUCUUCUGAAACAUUGUAAAUUAAAGACCCUUUAAGUUAUUUGCUGGGGGUCCUUUAAGAACAUGCUUACUGUUUUCUUUAGUGGAUACUGUUAUGACAUCUAUUGACUUGGUUUGUUAAUGUAUUAUAUAGAUGAUCUAUCUGUAGAAAGUAGUCCAUGCUGUAAAUGCAUUGUGUUAAGGGUGUGCUUGCAGGGAGUUAAUUUUACAUUAUUUAUCUCAAGUGACAUCUCAGUCAAUUUGUAGGUAGGUCCACAGCUUUAUUCCUUUUCAGGAUGAACAUUUCAUGAUCACUAACACAUUAAGAUGCUGAUGGGAUCUGGGUGCUGCAAAAAUUAUUUCUAUUUGUCUCUGAACAUUUCUUUUUUCAAACUGUAGUUUAACAAGUACUGUUUAACAGCUCAUCUCUAUAUUUUUGACCUCUAUAUUUUUUGCAUUCACAUAGCUUUUUUGGAUGCAUAUCAGAUCUUUAAAAAAUGAAAAAAACCCAGUAAAGUUGCGGCCUCACCUUCUAAGAGAUGUUUUACAAAGUUUCUCUUGUACAUUUGCUGAGACAAUUAAAUGUUUCCACACAGUACCAAUUAAAAUUUGGCUUAGUUUUGAUCUCAGAUUUUAAAGGUAUGUGUUGAAUAUUUGAUGGAAAUGACUAUGCCUCCCACAAAUAUUUGAUUUAAAACCAUUAGUUAAGAAAGACUAGUGCAGUGAAUAAAAGUAUAUUUAAAUUUUUUGUUCAAAAAUAGCCCAAUUGUGUUAAUUUCUUUGAACAUUUUCCUUACUAGAUUAAAAAAUAUGCUAAUCUCUAGUCUUACGUAUGUCAAAUAAAACUGAUUAUUGAUUAUAUUUUAGUUACUAACAUUAACUAGUUUCUCUUUCUGGCCUAAGCAGCUACUGGUUACAAGUUAACCUGAAGAGCAGAGGAUGAUAUUAUCCUGUCUAAUAAGCAAGCCAUUUGCGUUUCUUCCUCACUUAUCAAUAGAUCUUCAAACUAUUGCCAGUGCAAAUCAAAUUUCUCUCUCAAUGUGUCCACAAUUAAAUCUCAUUUCUUGGAGUGCCUGUCAUGGCUCAGCAGAAAUGAAUCUGACUAGUAUCCAUGAGGACACAGGUUCAAUCCCUGGCCUUGUUCAGUGGGUUAAGGAUCCAGCAUUGCUGUGAGCUGUGGUGUAGGUCGCAGACUUGGCUCGGAUUUGGCAUUGCUGUGGUUGUGGCAUACGCUGGCAGCAACAGCUUUGAUUAGACCCCUAGCCUGGGAACCUUCAUAUGCAGCAAGUGCAGACCUAAAAAGACAAAAACAAACAAACACUAAAAACCUACUUUCUUCACAUUUCAUAUUUACUUCUAAUCUCCAUAAUAUGGAUAACCUUUUUUUCUGGGCCUUUUCUAAAAUUUUCAUUUUGUAUGUUUGAAUUUUUUUUGGUUUAAGUUAUGUUUACUUUGGCCCUAACUUCCCUCCCUCCGUCUUUUACCUCCUCCUUUAUAUUUUUAUUGUAAUAAUGGCAUCAGUUUUCUUUUAUUUAUGGAUAAUCUUACUUAAAUCUGAAAGAAUUAUGCUUCAGUAUCAUUUCCCUUAUUUUAUGUAUAAGGAAACUGAAACUUAAAAGUAUUACUUAAUUGGUUAUGCUUACAUGACCAGGGAAUGGAAAGGUGAAGAAUUUACCCUAUUCCCUUGGAGAACACCUAUAAUAGAAAAAUUUAGCUGUCUUUAUUAUUAUACCCAUCAUAAAUCAUAAAGUGAUAUAUAUAUAUUCAAAUUAUAACAGAAACAUUUUCUUCCAAGUUCUGAAAAAUAACCUAUUAAAUAGCAUUUAACACACAUAAUAUGUUGUGAUAUAAAAAUCUUUUUACAUUGCUAUUGCUAUACUUUCCUGAAGAUUUUAGAGUUUUCUUUGCAUUUCUAGCAGAAUGCUUGGCACAGAGGAUGUGUUUACACAGAUUGCCACGGAUUUGUGUCUUCCUUAUCCAUGAUGAGGGAUAGGAAAAGAUGAAAAAUACUUUCAAGCAGGGCUAUUCCUUUCUACCAGCCAAUUUGGGACAAAAAAAAUUAGUUGAUCACAUUAUAACCUGUACAUAAAUUCAUGUUAGGAACAUGCUGCAAAGGUGAGUGUUAUAUAUGCUGUAAAGUGUUACUUCUUUGGGUUUUAUGGAGUUCUUGUGAUGCUAAUAAGCCUGUCAUUAUCUAUUCUCAGUAUAAACUUAACUUUUGAAGCAAAGUAAUUUCUGACAAUGUUUUUUCUUACUAAUACUGUUUAACAGUCACCAUAUUCUGUAGUUUUGGUGACCAAGAUGUUAUCUUAGUAGAAAUAGAUCACCACCUGUAUCCCAGUUGUACAUCUGUAGAUGUUUCUAUCUCUAUUUGUAAAUUAUUUCCUUACACUCAUACAUACUUUAUGUUGUGCACUUUUGAACUAUUUCUACAGAGCAUCAAUACCUACCUCUGCUAACAUUUUGAUUCAAAAUGAUGACACUUGACUAUGGAAGUACCAUAUCUCAUUGGAAUGCUCAUCAGGUGUCUUGAAAUGUAAAAAUGAAAUAUUUAUUUAGUUUAGGGAUGAAUGCCAACAACUUUGCUAGAAUGAAUCAUAACCCAUUGAUGAUAUAUGCUAUAGCAUGAAGGAUCUUAUUUAUUGCCACCUUUGCAUUUUUAUAUCCAGAAAUGGAAGAAUACAUAAUAAAAUGUAUUAUACUACCCAUGUUCCUGUUAAAAGUGAAAAUGAAUCAAUGGGAUUUUGCUGUUUUAAAUAACAGUGUCCUUGGACAGACAUCAUUUUCAGUCACUGUACUGGAAAAGAAGCAUAAAGACCAGAUUCAUUUUACAAGAAAUACAAAAAAAAAAAUGAUCAUUUAUAUUCUCCUUAGUGUCUUUGGCCAAUCUGAUUCUACAUUCAAAGAAUACACAUUACCUUGGAUGAAAUUUUCCUAAACCAGUCAGAAAGGUGUAUGGCUGCCCUGUAAAAAAAAAAUCCAUGACAAAUUUUACCUAUAUUAACAAAUGGGCAGUGGCCGAUUUGUAGAAAUGCAGUUAAUUGUCCAAACAUAUUUUUAAGGAUUCAUAUGGUGUUAUUUACCUGCUUCUAAUGAAUCUAUAAUGUGAUGCUUCUCCCUUUUGUAUGCCUUAGGGAGGGAAUUCUGAUUAAAAUGAGCCCAAUUGUGUAAUAUUUUUUUCCCUUUAUACAAGAGCAUUGUUAGUUCUGAUUUUAUAAUUUUUUCAGAAGAUAGGGUGAAUAAAAAUUAAGGUCUAUCUCACCUAUUAUUUAAAAAUCUGUCUUCUCAGAGAACUGGUUUUAAGUGAUAGCUAUUCUCUUGCCUGAAACUGUUCAUUGGGGAACAUAUAAUUCUAUCAACCUAUGAGUAAAAUUACCUCCCACAGUUCAAACAAAGAAGAAUAAAAUUAUUUAAAAUAAUGUUUAUUGAAUAAGCAAAGUUGGUAAUGAACAUUUUUAAGACAAGCCUCUUGGCUUAAUUUUGUCCUCAGGGAUAGUGUAGGGUGAGGAGGGACAGAAUAGAAACUUGCAAAAGGACUUAAUGGAUAUUAUUAGGAUAUUGUUUGGCUGGAAACUAGGAGGGACCAAGAGAGGAAAUGAAGGCAAGAUCAUAACAUAACAUCAUUAUAGAUCCAGCCCUUUCAAACCUAAUUUGUCCUACUACUCACCGCUCAGCUGCACAAAAUUCCACCUGCUUAUAUUAAUACUCUUUCUGUCUUACUUCCAGGGCAUUUGGUAAAACUCCCCCAUUUUCCUGGCAUGUUCAUUUCUAUUGCCACUUUUAAGUGGAUAACUAUUUAAGCACCAUUAAGAAACACCACUGAGUAACCAUUCUCCAGAGACCAUUUUUAAAAUUCCCAGAGAUUAGAACAAGUCCAGUGAGCCCACAGUCAAUAGAAUUGUUGACACUAAUUCUAAGUGCUUGUGGAGAAGGGUAAGACCAAAGUGUAAUGUCUUAUACUUUGAAGUUUCAGAAGGUGAUUAAUUGCUCCAUUCAUGUUCUGUAGCUCUACCUACUGCAGAAUGUGAAUGCUUAUUUCUAAAUGAAAUAAUAGUAUAAAUAUUUGUUGUACACAUAUAUUUUCUGUACUACUAUGUGUAAUACAGAACAUAUGUAUAUGUGUAUAUAUGUAUAUGUUUAUUACAAAUAUACAUGUGUAGAUAUAGAUAAUAAACCUGGUCUGGGUUCAUUAUAUACACCUGUUUAUCUUUUAAAAAUGUAGUCAGAUUUAAUUACAAAAAAAUAGUCAAAUAAAAUAUCCUGAUUUGAGGUGGCAGAUAAACUUAUUCUCCCCUAAAUGCCACUAACAUUAUAAUAAUGACCAUGAAAAGAUAAUUUAUUUUAAAGUCAUAAAUCACAAGGACAGACAACACAGGCAAGGAGAGAAGUAUAUGCUACAACUUUACAGAUUAGAAGAUGAAGUCAAAAGUAAUAGAUAUGGAAGACUCAGGACGAUUGAAUCCUAACCCACUAAUUGAGAAAGCCAAGGAGCAAUGGGAUUUGCCCCAGGGAGCUCUUCCAAGACUCAAGGACUGGUAGAACCAGAAAUUACUGUAGGUGGGGAUGAUGGGAGGCAGAAUAAAGGAAUUGAUUAAAAAGCAUUUUGCAAACAAUUAGAACUGAAAUCCAUCACCCACUCCAAGCAGCCAGAAUAAUGGUCCUGCUCUUUCUUAGAAGGAGGUGGGACACUUAUUCUUUGGUGAAAGUAAAACACAGGAUCUU
rnacentral:lncRNA from 1 species